CCUCACCGCGUGCACUGGCCCGGCCGGGUCCUUCCCCCCGGGGAGCCGCAUGCCCUUCGUUGGGCGUGCCGGGGAUCCGGGGAUUUUACUUUGAAAAAAUUAGAGUGUUCAAAGCAGGCCUUUGCUCGGAUACCACAGCAUGGAAUGAUGGAAUAGGACGUGCGGUCCUAUUUUGUUGGUUUUCAGGACCGCCGUAAUGAUUAAUAGGGACGGUCGGGGGCGUCAGUAUUCAAUUGUCAGAGGUGAAAUUCUUGGAUUUAUUGAAGACUAGCUACUGCGAAAGCAUUCGCCAAGGAUGUUUUCAUUAAUCAGUGAACGAAAGCUGGGGGAUCGAAGACGAUCAGAUACCGUCGUAGUCUCAGCCGUAAACUAUGCCGACUAGGGAUCGGGCGGUGUUACUUGUUGACCCGCUCGGCACCUCGCGAGAAAUCAAAGUUUUUGGGUUCUGGGGGGAGUAUGGUCGCAAGGCUGAAACUUAAAGAAAUUGACGGAAGGGCACCACCAGGCGUCGACAAAAAAGGGUCCCGCAGGGCCUCUGCGCUGUACAGCAGCCCCAAAAGGGGUGGGUGGUCGCCGAAAAUGCUAGUCUGCACUGCAGGCAACGUGCCCAAAUUGCGAGGAUAUCCUUAGGGCCCCACGCUACCAAGCCGCGUUGGAAAUGAUGCGGUGGCCAGGCUGAGAGUGCCUGGGUAUGGUCACAAUGUGUGGGGAGUGGAUUACUCGCAGCCAAGCCCCUUCAGCAAAGUAUGCCAGGGGAAGGUUCAGAGACUAAAUGGGUGCGGGCGGGCCUCAGCAGCCUGCUCAAGAUAUAGUCCGGCCGCUCGCGAAAGCGCGCGGGUUUGAACGGGAGCCUGCGGCUUAAUUUGACUCAACACGGGAAAUCUUUACCAGGUCCAGACACGCGAAGGAUUGACAGAUUGAAGUCCUUUCAUGAUGUGUGGGUGGUGGUGCAUGGCCGUUUUUAGUUCGUGGGGUGACUUGUCUGCUUAAUUGCGAUAACGAACGAGACCCCUAACCUGCUAAAUAGCCAGGCUGGCUCCGGCCGGUCGCAGGCUUCUUAGAGGGACUAUCGGCUUAAGUCGAUGGAAGUUUGGGGCAAUAACAGGU
rnacentral:rRNA from 1 species